rnacentral:rRNA from 1 species
AUGUUUACUAGAAGAAGCCCAACAGAUGAAACAUUUGAGGGUUCAUUGGAUCUGCAUAAAUUUGCAAAGGAGGCUCUCCCAGAUAGAACCUUGGAGAUAGCUGACCCAACAAUCUGGCUAUACAGAGAACCAAGGGAUGAUAUAAAAAGUAGUAGAAUCCAGAAGUGCUUGGUUUCUGUCUUCAGUCUUGGCAUAUCCUGCUCAAAAACACAGCCUCGAGAACGGACAUUGAUAAGAGAUGCAGCGGUAGAGAUGCAUGCAAUCAGAGAUGCAUACCUCCUGUUUGCUGGUGAGCGUAUUGGAGAAUAUGGAGCAGAAGAGGAGCCUCGGCUCGAGACAUUUGAGCUGGAAUGA